GCCUCGGUGGCGGAUGGUCCGCGUCUACAACAAUUGUCGCGCCUCGUAUUGGGUACACGUAGAAGUAGCUCGUUCGAUUCGAGCCCGAGGCA